rnacentral:rRNA from 1 species
AGUCAUAUGUUCCUCGUGAACAUGGCAUACUGCUCAGUAACACGUGGAUAACCUGCCCUUGGGUCUGGGAUAACCCCGGGAAACUGGGGAUAAUAUCGGAUAACGCAUAUGUGCUGGAAUGCUUUAUGCGUAAAACGGAUUCGUCCGCCCAAGGAUGGGUCUGCGGCCUAUCAGGUAGUAGUGGGUGUAAUGUACCUACUAGCCAACAACGGGUACGGGUUGUGAGAGCAAGAGCCCGGAGAUGGAUUCUGAGACAUGAAUCCAGGCCCUACGGGGCGCAGCAGGCGCGAAAACUAUACAAUGCGGGAAACCGUGAUAAGGGAACACCGAGUGCCAGCAUCAUAUGCUGGCUGUCCAGAUGUGUAAACUACAUCUGUUAGCAAGGGCCGGGUAAGACCGGUGCCAGCCGCCGCGGUAACACCGGCGGCCCGAGUGGUGACCGUUAUUAUUGGGUCUAAAGGGUCCGUAGCCGGUUUGGUCAGUCCUCCGGGAAAUCUGAUAGCUUAACUGUUAGGCUUUCGGGGGAUACUGCCAGGCUUGGAACCGGGAGAGGUGAGGGGUACUUCGGGGGUAGGAGUGAAAUCCUGUAAUCCUCGAGGGACCACCUGUGGCGAAGGCGUCUUACCAGAACGGGUUCGACGGUGAGGGACGAAAGCUGGGGGCACGAACCGGAUUAGAUACCCGGGUAGUCCCAGCCGUAAACUAUGCUCGCUAGGUGUCAGGCAUGGCGCGACCGUGUCUGGUGCCGCAGGGAAAC